rnacentral:rRNA from 1 species
GCUCGUAGUUGGAUUUCGGGUGGGUUCUAGCGGUCCGCCUAUGGUGAAUACUGCUAUGGCCUAUCUUACUGUCAUAAACGGGCUUCUGGGCUUAACUGUCCGGGACUCGGGUGUGAUACGGUUACUUUGAGUAAAUUAGAGUGUUCAAAGCAGGCUUACGCCCUGAAUACUUUAGCAUGGAAUAACGCGAUAGGACUCUGCCCUAUCUCGUUGGCCUGUAGGAGUGGAGUAAUGAUUAAGAGGGACAGUCGGGGGCAUUCGUAUUUCAUUGUCAGAGGUGAAAUUCUUGGAUUUAUGAAAGACGAACUACU